rnacentral:misc_RNA from 1 species
UACGGAGGGUGCAAGCAUUAAUCGGAUUUACUGGGCGUAAAGGGUGCGUAGGCGGUUUGGCAAGUCAGGUGUGAAAUUUCGGUACUCAAUACCGAAGCUGCACUUGAAACUACCUUACUAGAGGAUAGACGGAGAAAACGGAAUUCCAUGUGUAGCGGUGAAAUGCGUAGAUAUAUGGAAGAACACCUGUGGCGUAAGCGGUUUUCUAGUUUAUUUCUGACGCUGAGGCACGAGAGUGUGGGGAGCAAACAGG